AACAACGCUGGCGGCGUGCUUAACACAUGCAAGUCGAGUGCGCGCCUGUAGCAAUACAGGUGGCGCACGGCGCACGGGUGCGUAACACGUGGGCAAUCUGCCCUUCGAUGGGGAAUAACUCCGGGAAACCGAAGCUAAUUCCGCAUAACAUUCCUUGGACUCCGGUUCGAGGACUCAAAGCCGUAAGGCGUCGAAGGAGGAGCCCGCGCCCGAUUAGCUAGUUGGCGAGGUAACGGCUCACCAAGGCAAUGAUCGGUAGCUGGUCUGAGAGGAUGGCCAGCCACACUGGAACUGAGACACGGUCCAGACUCCUACGGGAGGCAGCAGUGGGGAAUCUUGCACAAUGGGCGAAAGCCUGAUGCAGCGACGCCGCGUGGGGGAUGAAGCAUUUCGGUGUGUAAGCCCCUUUCGACCGGGAAGAAUGCCCGCAAGGGAGUGACGGUACCGGUAUAAGAAGCCCCGGCUAACUACGUGCCAGCAGCCGCGGUAAGACGUAGGGGGCCAGCGUUGUUCGGAAUUACUGGGUGUAAAGGGUUCGUAGGCGGUGUGGCAAGUCGGGAGUGAAAUCUAUGGGCUUAACCCAUAGCUGCUUCCGAAACUGCUGUGCUUG
rnacentral:rRNA from 1 species